GCGUUCGUGGUGUGGGGGUCAGCACGCUCGAUUCGUAUUCGAGAGGUUCGUGGUUCGAGUCCUGGCGAGAGCA
rfam:Stegodyphus mimosarum contig11425, whole genome shotgun sequence.